AUGGCCGCCGCGGAAUCCCACGAUGUUGAGUUGCUAGACCUCGUGAGCUUCGGGCACACGCUCCGCCACCAUGGCCUCGUCAUCGCCGACGCCAAGGCGGACCACGACAUCCCCGUCGACGUGUUCAUGCUCCUCCUCGCCGACAACACUGUCGUGUACAAGAACUCCGGGGACCUCGAGGUGGUUGACAGGACCCACCUGCGCCCUGGACAGGUGGUCGGCUCGGCGUCCGACGAUGACGGCCGGCUCGGCGUCGUCACCAGCGUCACCACCGUGCUCGACCUGGCCAAGCAUGCCGUGGGGACACAUGUCAUCACGGGCGUGCCCCCGUCUACCCUCCGACACGUAAGGAGCUUCAACCUCGGCGACUUCAUCGUGUCCGGGCCGUGGCUUGGCCGGGUUGUCGAGGUGUCCAUCGACGUGGAUGUGUUGUUCGAUGACGGGGCGGUCUGCAGGGUCGCCAACGCAGAGUCCAAGAAGCUACAACUAGUGCAUGACACCUCAGCUGGCGGCAACAAAACACAACGAGUGUAUCGCGGUCAAAUGAACACUCUUUUCAACCCUGGGCAGCGCGUCCGUGCACCAGACCCGUCUUCCCUCUUCAAGGCAGCACGCUGGCUCAACGGCUCCUGGAACCCUGACCGUCAGAUGGGCACCGUCAGCAACUUAGAGAUGUCCGGCGUCAUUGUCUACUGGAUUGCAUCCAUGCACCAUGGCACGGACAAGGAGCUCGUCAAGGCAUCGGCCCCUUCGGCCUACCAGAACCCGGACGAUCUUACUUUCUUCUGUGCCGCGCACGACUGUAGCUGGGGGGUAGCUGACCGCUGCUUUUUCCGCAAAGACAAUGCGACUGAUGAUGAUGAAUGUGAAGCACCAACAGCUCAGGCCGAGGUGGAGUUUCCCAUGGUCGUUGUCAACACACAUACCUCCCUUGACGUGCUAUGGCAGGACGGCACACGACAACAAGGCAUAAGUUCAGCGACUGUCGCCCCCUUUCAAGUAGUGGAUGGAGAGUUAUUCCCGGGACAUCACGUCGUCGGUGUUCUUCAUGUUGAUGCUACCGGCGACCACGAUGACAAGACUACUACUAGUGUAAACAAUGACAUUGUUGCUGAUGGAACUCCAUUGUCACGGCCCGUGGGCGUCCUCAGGAGCCUACACUACGGAGACCGGACGGCUUGCGUGUCAUGGUUGAACGGGGCUGGUGAGGUUGAGUGUGACGAUGCCGUGACUGUAUACGCGCUGAAAAGAGACUCUUCUUACCUAUAUGCUUACUAUGGAGAUAUUGUCAUUCGCCUCCUACCGUCAGGAUCAGCCAACGGUGAAGAAACCAUAUCAUUGAUUCAUAGCAAGAAGACGAAGCGUGCUGCUGCAUCCGAUCUUUCAUGGGUGGGGCAUGUUGCUGAACUUCAUAAUGGACACGUCCAAGUCAAAUGGGGUGAUGGUAGCAUGUCAAUGGUAUUGCCCCAAGAGAUUCUUGUCGUCAAGGAGGAGCACUACAUGAAUCUGUUGAAUUUAAUGGAGAACUGGGUAGUGGUCGACGACAAACCAACCGCAGCCGCAGUUAACACGGACCAUGGUCUACAGAAUCCGGCUGACAAUAACGAUGUCGAAGGCGACAACCCGGCAAUGACGAGGACAAACCCUUUGGGCUUUGCAAGCCGGUCUUUGUUUCAAAGGACAGGCAACAUGGUGGCUCGGGUUAAGCAAUACGUGACAGGGAACUGGUGGCCGUUGUCGUCAUCACCAAGCUCAGGGUUACUUGUGCCCACAUAUGACGGCGAUGAUACAAUAGAGACAUCCGAUGCUACCAUGGCGAGGAACAUUCUGGAUGCGAGCGGGCACUAUUUUCCCAAGGGGACGAAAGCUGAUGACAAGCCCUUCGGAUCACCAUUACCUUGA
rnacentral:rRNA from 1 species